AAUGAACGCUGGCGGCAGGCCUAACACAUGCAAGUCGAACGAGUGGCGGACGGGUGAGUAAUGUCUGGGAAACUGCCCGAUGGAGGGGGAUAACUACUGGAAACGGUAGCUAAUACUGCUUACCAUCGAAUGGGCCCAGAUGGGAUUGGCUAGUAGGUGGGGUAACGGCUCACCUAGGCGACGAUCCCUCGCUGGUCUGAGAGGAUGACCGGCGACACUGGAACUGGGAAACGGUCCAGACUCCUACGGGAGGCAGCAGUAGGGAAUAUUGGGCAAUGGGCGCAAGUCUGAUGCAGCCAUGCCGCGUGUGUGAAGAAGGCCUUCGGGUUGUAAAGUGCUUUCAGCGGGGAUGCGUUACUCGCAGAAGAAGCACCGGCUAACUCCGUGCCAGCAGCCGCGGUAAUAC
rnacentral:rRNA from 1 species